AUUCCCAGGCAGUGAGAGACAAAUACGGCGUGCCGAAGACAUAUUGGGUGUCUCAAAAUCACUGAGAACUCUAUAGCUCAAAAUUUAAGCCCUGCACUUUUUUAGAUCUACCCCGUUGAGUGGCAUUUUUGUGAAAAUUAUGUAAAUAUAUUUAUCAGAAUAAGGGAGAAGUGUAGGGGGCGGCGGGUGAGGUGCAGAAGAAGAAUAAGAAGAAGUUGUACCUAUCCAGUAAUUUUAUCUUGAUUUGUGGAUUAGAGGAAGACUAGAUUUUGAUAAAGAAAUCGGCAAACUUGAACUGCAGGUAAGGUGUUGGUUUGUCAUGCCGAUUGUCUUGAAACCUGUUCCUUUUAAACCUGGGCUUCACCAUUUACGCUCCAUAUGUGAAUUAGCCUUGAGGCAAAAUAAUCCGGCAGGUGGCUAUUUUCUGUUUGUAAAACUGGCCUCAGAUGGAGUGCUAUCAUUUGAUUAACCAUCACAUGAUCAGGCAGCAACAAAGUUUGUGGUUUUAGAAUCUUGAAAAAUUUUCUUGGGAGUGGCACUUGGUAGACAUCUGUUUGUGAUUCUGCUAGAGCAAUAGCGUCGUGCUCAAGCCAGCCAAAUUUUAGACUGCCAAUUCACAAGAAAAAAUGCUUAGUUAAUCAGAUUUCAGGUAUCAAAAUAUUAGGUAAGGCACCAAUAGGCAUUUAAUUCAAUUCUGGUGGUAAAAAUCAUGACCAUAUAUUGGCAUAUCAUCAAUUUUUAAUUUGUUGUGGCACACCUUGUUGUAUAUUGAGGCUUGAAGAUGCUCAAGUAAAUAUUUUUGAUGCGUGUGUUGAUGAAGGCUAAAGUCCAAUGAAAAUAAAAAGCAGAAAUUAUCCUGACCUUCCCUUCCCUACUAACCUCCAACCUCCAACCUAUCAGCCUACAAACCACUGUUCAGACUUCAUCUACACGCAGGUUUAACAUUUUAUGAUAAAGUAAAAAAUGCUCAGCUUGUAAUCCAAUGCCUUUCAAAACCAAUAGGCCUUUUUGGCCUUGCGAAUGGUUAACGGAGAGAGAGAGUUACCUAACUCUAUCAUGUAAAAGCUGCUUUGAGAAAAUAGCACUGUGUUUUAUCCUGGCUUCAUGACUCUCUAACGCUCUUUCAAACACAUGGUUGUUUUCUGACAAUUGGUGAUACAGAGAGGGUCUGCAUUAAUGUCCAAGUAUGGUCAUUUAGGAUCAAUUUUUGGUGCCCUCGUUUUAUAUUAUUCCAGCACUCCAGCAGCCUUACCCCGCGUUCGAUGUCUCUCGGAUGACGAAGAUUCUACGUCGUCCAGCCAAUCCCGUCCAAGGACUCGUGGCGCUGCUCGCCUCCUCGCCAAUGCGAACGCGUUCUCUGAGGACAACCCGCCCAAGGCUAGUAUGGCGAAGCCACGCCACCGCGCCGGCUAUAGACUCACGGCCUGAAGCGAGUUUGGGCGCGACGGCUGGCGAGCCAAGGCGGCGGAAAGUCGUCUGGCGGAGCUCCCGUCUGAGGCGAGCGAGCUUGAUCUGGUCAGACAUCUCCGCCACCGAUGGUGUGCUAGAUGGAGGAGGAGGGGCCAUCCCCCCCCUGAACCGCGACAUCCGGGAGGUGCGUGUCGCGGCAGGCGCCCUCUGCUCUAGCACGCGCGGCGAGCUAUUCGCCCUAAGAGCGGUGUUGGAGGAGCUGUUGACCAAGACUGGUCGCGACACCUCUCUUCCGAUAAUUAUCGUCUGUACCGACUCGAUGGCGGCGCUGGCCCUCCUGCGGAGCGGCGCGGCGGCCCAGAGAGCCCCUCUGGCCGCAGACAUAUGGGGGCUGCUGGCAGCGCUCACCGAGGGGGCCAGCCAGUGAUAAUGCAGUGGGUUCCUGCACACUGCGGGCUUCCGGGCAACGAGCGGAUGGACGCCCUCGCGCGAGGCUGGCGCCCUAUCCCAACGGUAGCGCCGUCCGCCGAUCGACUUGGGCAGCACUAUCUGCAAGGCAGGCGCGCGCGACGCUGCGCGCGCCUGGCGGCGGAGCUGGCAGGACGGAUGACCCUGGCUGCCGCCGUGAGAACCAUCCAGAACCGUACGGCUAUGCUGCGGCAGCGGCUGAAAGGAACGCAACAACAAUAACUACAACAGCAGCUGCUAAUGAAAGGGGAAAUCAUGGAGCCGGAUGACCCGGCACAUGGCGCUCAGCCAGCUGAGAAUGAGAGCAGCUAUCAAAUCGCCAGCAGGGUGCUGCGGCUGGUAACUGACGACCUUGGUAGAGAGAGCGCCUCCGCUGAUGCGGAUGAAACUACCCCCUCUCGGGUUUGUUUGACGCCGUCUCCGUCGACUCUUUCGCCUGGGCCGGCUGGCGACCGCGCUACAUUUCUUGUGCAGUGACUCGUAACUGUGUUCACCAAACUUUCAAAACUCCCCACGUUAGCAUCUUUAAAGAAUGUUUUCCUUGUACACUGCUGCAAUGUCUUAUGUAGGCAUGUUGUACAGUCUAAACGAGUGUGGAAUGCUUUGUUGUGCUUGUUCUGUAUUUCGUUUGCUAUUUAUCACGGUGACUAUAAUUUAUUUUGACCAACUCUUGCCUUGUUACAAUUUUAGUGGAUGGUUUCUGAACUGCUGUUUGCAUUAUAGAUGUUGCUAGUGCGUAGACGCCAAAGAUUACUUAUACCUAUUGACGCGCCAGAUAAAGGAGGUGAAGUAUUCCUCUGAUCUAUACCUACGGAAUUCCUUUAUGUGUGUUUUGUAAUCGAUAUUGGCGGUUUUCUUAUGUGAUGCGGUGUAGAGCGUGGCUGAGGAAGGCGAUGUUUAAAGUUGCUAGUUAUUUUUCAAUACAUCUUUGAUCGGAC